ACCUGUGUCCCCUGCGUUGGCAGGUGGAUUCUUAACCACUGUGCCACCAGGGAAGUCCCUAAUUUUUUUUUUUUUUUUUUUUACAGUAGGUACUUGUUGGUUAUCUAUUUUAAAUAUAGCAGUGUGUACAUGUCAAUCCCAACUCCCAUAGUGAAACUGAGUAUUUUUUCAUGUGGCCAUUUUAACAUCUUCUUUGCAAAUUUCCUGUUAAUGUUUUUGAAAACCCACAUAUUUGGGGGGCCAAUAUACGUACCCCUCUCUACUUCAUGGACUAUUGUAAGAAUUAGUUGAAAUAACCUAUCUGAAUAUGUUUGAAACUGACACAGCAAUACACAAAUGUGUUGACCACGUUUAUGACCUGUAGGGUGAGGGUCAGGAGGAAUGGCCAUCUGGAGACAAACGGGCUGAGUCAGUGGUACCCAUUGAAGGCUUGGGCAGCUCUGCCUGAUGACGUAUGGGGAGAGGCACCUGUGAGAAAGGGAAAGGGGCCUUGACCUAGAGACUUGUUACUGAGAGAAGGCCACCGGAAAUAGACAAGGUCAGUGGCAGUACAGGGGCUGGCAGCUCGAAAUGUUGUUUCAGUUGUUACAACUAGUAUAUUGUACUUCUCUAAUUUGAAAAUGAUCCGAUAAAGAAAAAAACAAUUAAGACACUCUACCCUGCAGCAGGGUUGGCAAUUCAUGAGGCGACAGGAGCUGAGUCCUGGGCUGUCAUGGGUUCCUGUGCUGACUUGGACAGAGCAGCCCCAGGGAGCCCCUGAGAGUCAUACCUGGACCCUGCAGGACGCCGAGCUCACGGCCAUCUCGCACUCAGAUGACGGGGAAGCCGUGCCUCCUUGGCAAGCAGGACCCUGUGAACAGGCCUUCUGUGGAUGGGAUGGUGCCCACUGCAGUGGUGAGGGUGAUCUUCUUUACUCCAUCCACCCAUCCAAAUGCUGAUCUCCUCCAGAAAUGCCCUCACAGACAUGCCCAGAAAUAAUGUUUCACCAGCUACCUAGGCAUUCCUUAGCCCAGUCGAGCUGACAUGUAAAAUCAACCAUCACAAAUAACAGCAUUUGAAGGGUAAAAGCCCCAUGUCUCCUCGGCCAGUGGGUGUUUAUCAGAGGACAGUGGAAAAGAGGGACAAAAAUGCCUGGAUAUAACAUUAAGAGUUGGCAGGACCCGACCUCUAAAAGGAAGUGUUAAAACAAUGUUUUUGACAUCAAGGCUUUUCUCAAAGUUGAUAAAGGAGAGCUUGUGGAAAAGCUCAUGUGCUGUCUCUUCAGUGGAGAGUUCAAUCCAGGAAUAAGAUGUGAUUAAGGAUCUUGAGAUGGAGGGUUACCUUGGAUUAUCUGGGCAAAGCACUGCCCGUUUCUUCAACUCUGGAGCUGUGGAGGAGUAUUUUUUUGGGACUGGAGGCCACACCCAUCCCUUCUCUGGGCGUGUUAUCUCCCUCUGUCUCAUGGGGAAACUCACACCAUGCACUGGAGCUUCAGCAGGAAGCACUGAUUUGGCUUCUGUUCCUGGUCCAAUCCAAGUCCCAGCAUCGUCGGCGAGAGGAAGAGCCGUUGCCAUGGACUAAAAGGCCAGUGUGCACGGGCAUCCCCUCCACCACCUCUCACGGACGGAGCGGCCCCGCAAGGCAGACGUCACAGCCUUCAGUUUGCAGCGGCCACAGAUAUUCACUGAGGGCCUCUCCUGCCAUUGGCUCUGCUUGGAUGGUGAGAAAACACAGUCCCUGCCCUCGUGGUGC